AACGAACGCUGGCGGCAGGCCUAACACAUGCAAGUCGAGCGCCCGGAUUUAUCCGGGAGCGGCGCACGGGUGAGUAACGCGUGGGAACAUGCCCUGAAGUACGGAACAACCUGGGGAAACCUUGGCUAAUACCGUAUACGCCCUGAGGGGGAAAGAUUUAUCGCUUUGGGAUUGGCCCGCGUUGGAUUAGCUGGUUGGUGUGGUAACGGCGCACCAAGGCGAAGAUCCAUAACUGGUCUGAGAGGAUGACCAGUCACACUGGGACUGAGACACGGCCCAGACUCCUCCGGGAGGCAGCAGUGGGGAAUAUUGGACAAUGGGCGAAAGCCUGAUCCAGCCAUGCCGCGUGAGUGAAGAAGGCCUUCGGGUUGUAAAGCUCUUUCAGCGGGGACGAUGAUGACGGUACCCGCAGAAGAAGCCCCGGCUAACUUCGUGCCAGCAGCCGCCGUAA
rnacentral:rRNA from 1 species